UAUGGGAUUUGGGGUCAGGGAUUUGGGGUCAGGGAUUUGGGGUCGCUGGGAUAUGGGAUGUGGGGUCAGGGGGAUCUGGCACCGCUGGGGUUGGAUGAGCUCGUGCAGUGUCAGAAGUGAAAAUCUGGGAUUGGAUCCAUCACACCAAUGGAUCCAUCACCCCCAAAUCCAUCCCAAAAUCCCAUCCCUGUGGAUUUGGGAUAAAAAUCCCACUCGGCAUCCCAACAACACAACUCCAGUGGGGACUCUGCUCCUCUCCUGGACAGCCCACACCAAAAACCGGGAAUUUGGGAUGGGAUGGAUCACCCCAAAUCCAUCCCACAAAUCCUUUCCCUAAGGAUACGGGGAAAAUUCCCACUCUCCAUUCCCCCAACACAAUCCCAAGCCUGAAAUCUGCUCCUUUCCUGCCCCAAAAAUUCGGGAUUGGGGCCAGAGCGGCACCGUUGGAUCGGCCCAAACCAAAACAAUCCCUGGGAAUCCAAAUCCCUCAAAACCACCUGGAACGGGGCAGGAAUUCCCUCAGAGCCGGGAUUGGGACCUGCCGGGAAUCACAGCCGGAGCCAUUCCGGGAUCCCUGCUCUGCUCAGCCCCUCCCGAUGGGAUUUCACGGGAAUUCACCGGCUUCUGGCCAGAAAUGGGGAUCCAGAGGGAUCCAGAGGGAUCCAGAGGGAUCCAACACCUCAGGGAUGCAUCCCGAAAAUCCCAGCCCUUGGGAAUUCACGGGAUCAGGGGCUGCUGGAUGGGAUCCUGACCCCAAUCCCAGGGUUUUCCAUUGGGAUCCUGACCCCAAUCCCAGGGGUUUUCCAGUGGGAUCCUGACCCCAAUCCCGGGGGUUUUCCAGCAGAAUCCUGACCCAAAUCCUGGAGUUUCUCCAUUGGGAUCCUGACCCCAAUCCCGGGGAUUUUCCAGUGGGAUCCAGCAAGAUCCAAACCCCAAUCCCAGGGGUCUUCCAUUGGGAUCCCAGCCCCAAUCCCAGGGGUUUCCAUUGGAAUCCAGCAAGAUCCAAAACCCAAUCCCAGGGGUCUUCCAUUGGGAUCCCAGCCCCAAUCCCAGGGAUUUUCCAUUGGGAUCCCGACCCCAAUCCCAGGGAUUUUCCAUUGGGAUCCUGACCCCAAUCCCAGGGGUUUUCCAGCAGAAUCCUGACCCAAAUCCUGGAGUUUCUCCAUUGGGAUCCUGACCCAAAUCCCAGGGAUUUUCCAUUGGGAUCCCGACCCCAAUCCCAGGGAUUUUCCAUUGGGAUCCCGACCCCAAUCCCAGGGAUUUUCCAUUGGGAUCCUGACCCCAAUCCCAGGGAUUUUCCAUUGGGAUCCCGGCCCCAAUCCCAGGGAUUUUCCAUUGGGAUCCUGACCCCAAUCCCAGGGGUUUUCCAUGGGGAUCCCGACCCCAAUCCCAGGGGUUUUCCAGUGGGAUCCCGACCCCAAUCCCAGUGUUUUUCCAUAAGGAUCCCAACCCCUGGGAUUUUCCAAGGGGAUCCAUCCCUGUUCCCGCUCCCAGCCCUGGCCCUUCCCUGGAUACGGUCUCUAAAACAAAGGGAAACAUCGGGAUCACGGCAGGAAUCCCCCACCCAUCCCCAAAUCCCAGCACGGCCGGGCCGGGCUCCUCUCCCGGGAGGAAAUUCCCAAUAAAUCCCUGGAAAAAAAACAACCUGGCCCCGGCUCCAGGGGGGGAAAAUGGGAAUGGGAAGCACCUGGAGCUGUGAUCCCGCUUUUUAAAGGGAGUUUUCCUUCAAAUGUCUCCUUUCCUCCAAAUCUGGGAGUUGAAUUGAACAAAAAUAGGGAAAAAUCCUUGGAUUCUUUCCCUGGAAUGAUCCUGGAUUGUUUUCUUCCCAUAGAAGUCAGGAAAAAAGCAGGAAUUUGGUGUCGUGCUCCCUGAAAAUCCAAAAAAAUCUGGGAAAAUUGAGGUUUCAUGGAAGUGCUGACCCCUGAGAAAGGGGAAUUUUGGGAUUAAAUAUCCCAAAAAAAUCCACAAAACUUGUUAAAUUCACUUCCAACGCGGAGGAGAUCCCGAGAUUCUCCUGGCUCUCGGAAUCCGCAGGGAUGGGAGACAGAAAUCCCAAAAAUUCAUGGAUUUUCCUCAGAAGGGAGCAGGAAAAUCUCCCAGAGGAAAACAAGGAUCCCUCGGAAAAUCCCCCCCCCACUCUCCACUCCGGAGGUUUUCCCUGGGAAGAGAAUUCCGUGAGCAUUCAAAUAAUUUCGGGAUAAACGGGAAAAACGAGUUCCUGGAGCUUCCCAGGGCUCAGCCCCCGUGGGAUCCCUGCGGAUAUUUUGGAAUUUUUCCCACUAAAUUCAGGCCAAAACCAUCAGAAUUCCCAAUUAUCCCAGAAAAUCCUGGCUUGGGUGGGGAGAAAAAUCCCAAAUCCCGAUUUUUGGGCGAAUUUUCCAGGGAAAAAGAUGAACUUUUCCCUCUCAGCUCCUGGUGGGAAUUCUGCCAGGAGUGGGAUCCCAGGGAUAAGAACAAUUCCCAAUUAAAUGGGAAAAAAAUAAAAAAAACUACAAAAAUUUGGAUCAAUCCUGAAUUUUCCUCUUUUUUUUUCCUCCUAAAUCCAGCAGGAAUUCCCAAAAAUCCAUGCCCAGCCCAAAUAAAUUGGAUUUUCCAGGAAGAAGGGGAGCUCCAGAGGCUGGGGAGGAGGAAGAGGAGGAAGCUCCUGAUAAAAUAUCCCAAAGGAAAAGGAAUCUCAUGGAAAACCGGCACUUCCAGGGGCUGUUUGGGGCUGGAAUUUGGGAAUUUGGGAAUUCCCACCCCUGGAAUCAGCUGGGAAUGUGGCAGUUUUAUUCCUGAGUGGGUUCAGCUUCAAUCCUGAAUAAUCCCCAAUUGAUCCCAAAUCAUCAUUCCAGCCCCGAAUUCCAAGGGAUUCCCGGAAUCCUGGGAUUCCCAGGGUUCUCAGGGUGGGAAUAAUUAGUGCCAGCCGGGAUAAUUGGCUGGAACAGGGAGGGGUUAAAGCUGGGAGGGAACUCCUUGGGAUCCAUCCCAAACUUCUGGAUCUGUCUGGAGCUGCCCUGGAUCCAUCCUGAGCCUCUCCAGAUCCAUCCCAAACUUCUGGAUCCGUCUGGAGCUGCCCUGGAUCCAUCCUGAGCCUCUCCAGAUCCAUCCCAAACUUCUGGAUCUGUCUGGAGCUGCCCUGGAUCCAUCCUGAACCUCUCCAGAUCCAUCCCAAACUUCUGGAUCCAUCCUGAGCCUCUCCAGAUCCAUCCCAAACUUCUCUGGGUGCAUCCCAGACCUCUCCAGAUCUGUCCUGAACCUCCCUGGAUUCAUCCUGGCUCUUCCUGGAUCCAUCCUGAACUUCCCUGGAUCAAUCAGGACCCUCUGGAUCCAUCCCAGGCCCCUCCAGAUCCAUCCUGAACCUCUCCAGAUCCAUUCAGAGGUUCCCUGGAUCCAUCAGGACCCUCUGGAUCCAUCCCAACCUUCCCUGGAUCCGUCCUGAACCUCUCCAGAUCCACCAGGACCCUCUAGAUCCAUCCUGAACCUGCCCAGAUCCAUCCUGAACUUCCCCUGGAUCCACCCCAAACUUCCUUGGAUCCAUCCCAGACCUCUCCAGAUUCAUCAGGACCAUUUGGAUCAAUCCUAACCUUCCCUGGAUCCACCCCAGACCUCUCCAGAUCCAUCAGGACCCUCUGGAUCCAUCCCAGCCUUCCCUGGAUCCACCCUGAACCUCUCCAGAUCCACCAGGACCUCUCUAGACCCAUCAGAACCCUCUGGAUUCACCCCAACCUUCCCUGGAUCCAUCCUGAACCUCUCCAGAGCCAUCCCAGCCUUCCCUGGAUCCAUCCCAGACCUCUCCAGAUCCAUCCCAGACCUCUCCAGAUCCAUCAGAACCCUCUGGAUCCAUCCUGAACCUCUCCAGAUCCACCAGGACUGUCCAGAUCCCUCCCGAUCCCGUGGAUCCCUCCCUCUCCCCAGCGGCGGGCAGCGCUGGAUGGAUCCCGGCAAUCCCAAAUCCCUGGACACUCACCUCAGGCAGGAGCGAUCCCAGCCGUGCCCGGAUCCCUGGAACCCCGAGCGGGAGCGUUUCCCAGGAAUCUUCGAUCCCCUUUAUCCUCCUCCUCCUCCUCCUUGGAUUUUUGUGUGAUUUUUCCUUUUUGUUUUAAUUCUUUUUCUUUAAAUAAAACUCCCCAAAAAAAUCCCCCGCGGAGGCUCCCAAAGUUCCAGCGGCGGCCGCAAUUCCAGAGGCCGGGAUGGCUGGCAGUCCUUGCCGGAAAACACCGGAUUUUUAUCCAAAAAAACCCCCCUUUUUUUUUUCCUUAAAUUCCUAAAUAAUAAUUUAUCGAGGAAAAGCCAAGUGCGGCGUUACCCUUAAGUCAUUCCUGGUUCCAGGGACAGCAUUCCCGAGGGAGGAAUUCCCUGGAUCACGGAUUUCACACGGAUUUGGGUUCGCUCAAAGCAAAAACCGCAGUAAAAAAGCCAAAAAAACCUCGUUGGAGUGAAGAAAUCCUUGGAAUUUCAUCCCGCGCCUCAAAUCCCGGGAUUUUCUGACCCUUGGGAGGAGACGAAAUCCCGGGGAAAAAAAAAAAAAAAACGGGAAAAGCGCUGCUGUUAAA